rnacentral:rRNA from 1 species
AGAGUGAACGCUGGCGGUAGGCCUAACACAUGCAAGUCGAACGGCAGCACGGUAAGAGCUUGCUCUUAUGGGUGGCGAGUGGCGGACGGGUGAGGAAUACAUCGGAAUCUACCUUUUGGUGGGGGAUAACGUAGGGAAACUUACGCUAAUACCGCAUACGCCCUUCGGGGGAAAGCCGGGGACCAGCAAGUGGCCUGGUGCUGAUAGAUGAGCCGAUGUCGGAUUAGCUAGUUGG